rnacentral:rRNA from 1 species
UUACCCGCUGAACUUAAGCAUAUCAAUA